rnacentral:lncRNA from 10 species
GGAGAACUGCUUACUUGCUCUUUUGUAUGCUUCCGGCUUCUUUUUCCUCCAAACGUAGGCCUUCUCCGCGCUGAAGUUUUCCCCAGCAGCGUAAUACUGUAUUCUGUUAUAGCAGCAGAAAACAGACUAAGAAAAAUGUUGUGCUUGUAAGAGAUUGGGACACGGACACAUACAGAGGGAAGACCAUGUGAAGACACAUGGAGAACGCUGCCAUCUACAAGCCAAGGAGACUGACCUUAGAAGAAAUCAAUCCCAAUCUCACCUUAAUGUUGGACUUCUAGCCUCCAGAACUGUGAGGAUAUGGGCUGGAUGGUUUCUUAGCCUCCUCAUGACCUGUGGUGCUUCAGAGGUCCACGGAAUGAAGGAUAAGAUGGAGAAGCCAGGCUAAGGAAGGAUUGGGAUUUCCUAAAACAG